ensembl:lncRNA
AAGACUCGUCUCUCUGCACUCUCGUUGUCUGAUAUGUUAAGUGAAAUCCUGCAAGAAAGUGGCUCAAAUAAUAAUAAUACGCAUAUGACAAGCUCAACCGCUCAACAGGUAGAUGGUUAUCUGUCUGAAGUCCCCAUACCCAGAAGUGAUAACCCUCUUGCCUAUGGAGAAAUAAUGAAGUUGACGGAGAAGCAGUGGACUAUGGAUUGACUGAGAGGAUGAUUUCAUGCCUCUUUGAAGGAUCGUUUAAGAAGCAAGCCAAAUUCAACCGAUUUGUUCAGCAGUUCUAAACAUACACACAGAUUGGGCGUUAUGUGGAAAACUAUUAAUUCCUCUUUCUUUCUGUCAUCACUAUUACGCCUACUUGGUGAAAUAUAAACAGGACUGGACUGUCCUUGACCCUUUUGAGGUGAUGGAUUUUCAUGCUUUGGAUACAUACUGUGUCGAUGAUAAACUGUUUGUUAGUAUGCGGCAUUUAUGUUAAACUGUGUUGGGAGGGUUGUAGAGCGUUGUGGAUGAGCUCAAAGCUUGUGUUUUUUAAUCCAGAACACAUCAAGUGUAGUUUAUCCGUUAAGUGACUCUUUACUUUGGUGUGGUGUGCUAAAGUGUUUUGCUUGGUCUUUGAUAAUAAACUUAUGUUUUUCUGCACUAUAUUGCUGUUCUUAUUAGUGAUGUUCAUGAAAUUGAAAGAAGGAAAAUAUAAAUGGUUCCAUUGUAUUUAUUCCCUGCUAUGCAUCUAUUCUCUGAUAUCGCUGUUCAUUUUGUUUUUGGAGUGGCAGUAAGUUGUCAGUUGGUCAGUGAAAUGCUUCUUAAAAAAUGUAAUUAAUUAUUUUUAAUGUUUUUUUAUAUCAGACAUGACAUCCUAAACAUUGUGGCAUUUUAUUUUGGGAUGUUACAUUGUAUGGUUGUGAGAUGAAUUAUUAUUGAAUCGGUGAAUUAAACUGUUUUCCAUUUAAGGACUAAAAUAAAUGUCUAAAAUUCAGUUAGUUGUUGUUUGCCUUUAUUUUCUUUCACUCCUUAAGGAAUAAAAAGGAACUUUUUUGCCACCUAAAGGUACAAAAUGGCUUUGUCACUGGGGUGGUACCUUAAUGGGACAAAAUUGUACCUUUUUCCAGAGGUACUUUAUUGUACCUUUGUCUAAGGUACAUUAUUGAUCCUCAAAGGUACAGUAUUGGCCCUUAGAAGGUACAAACAAGUAAGGUACAAAUUUGCUCCUCUGACUCAAGGUACAAUAAUGUACCUUUGAGGGUACCACCCCAGUGACAAGCUUUUGUUCCUUAAAGGUACCGUUUUGUACUUUUUUUUCUGAGAGUGAA